CAGGUUCACAGUUGAUUCUAAAUGGGAAAAACAAUGAAGACACCCAUUGGAGCUUUAAUCGCAUUCUUGUGGCUGCAGCUGGACUGUGUCAGCCUUGGAAACAAGGUGGAGCAAAGUCCUUCCACCCUGAGUGUCCAGGAGGGAAACAGCUCUGUUAUCACCUGCACUUAUACAGAUGGUAACUCAGACUACUUCCCUUGGUAUAAGCAAGAACCUGGGAAAGGUCCCCAGCUCCUUAUAGCUAUUCAUUCAAAUAAGGACAAAGAGGAAGACCAGAGACUGACUGUUUUAUUGAACAAGACAGCCAAACGUCUCUCCCUGCACAUCGCAACCACUGAAGCUGGAGACUCGGCUGUCUACUUCUGUGCAGCAAGACAAACCCGUGGAGACUCAGUGAGCCAGAUGGACGGCCAAGUGACCCUUUUGGAAGGGGCUACCUUGACUGUGAACUGUACUUAUUCAGCCACUAGGUACCCUACUCUUUUCUGGUAUGUCCAAUAUCCUGGAGAAGGUCCGCAGCUCCUCCUGAAAGCCACGAAGGCCAGCGACAAGGGAACCAACAAAGGUUUUGAAGCCACUUACAAUGCAAAAACCACUUCCUUCCACUUGGAGAAAGCCUCAGUCCAAGAGUCAGACUCAGCUGUGUACCACUGUGCUCUGAGUGACACAGUGACGGAAACUGCAGGGCGAGCUGAGCACAAACUCUGA